rnacentral:lncRNA from 1 species
GGUUAAGAUCUCAAAAAUUGGACUUUAAGAGGCUGUUAGGAUUUCCAAGUUCUUCAGCAAUUUACUAGUUGAAUUGAGAUAUUAAUUAUAUUUAAAAAUAAUAGACUUAAUUUUCUACAUAUAUAUGAAAUUUAAAAAUAAUUAAAUAGUUUGAUAAGGAGAUAUUGGUGCUAGAAGUUCAACAUUUAGAUCGGAGGAGGAGGCCAACCAACACUCGAGCAGAAUUUAGAUUUUUUUUUUUUCUAUUUGGAAAGUAAAAUUAUCUUCAAAUUUUGUAUACUUGUUGUUAA